GCGCAUGCUCCCCAGCGCCCCGCACCAACAUGGCCGCCGCUCCCGGUGAGCGCAGCCGCCGCUGCGAGCCGGCCGUUGGUGCGCAUGCUCCCUGAGUGCCCCGCACCAACAUGGCGGCGUCUUCUUUGGGGUGACUUUAAUUCUCUGUUUUCGCUUAGAGUCGGCCGGCGCUCAUUUCUCUUCAGAAAGCUUGGAGCCCGUGGUGGAGCCGGGGAAGGGAAGGGUGGGUGCGGCCGUGAAAGGUGAGAGGGACAGAAAGCAUCCGGGCCGGCUCCCGGCGGGAGGAAGAUGGCUGAGAGCGAGCGGCAGCCGCCGCCAGAUUCUUCAGAGGAGGCCCCUCCAGCCACUCAGAACUUCAUCAUUCCAAAAAAGGAGAUCCACACAGUUCCUGACAUGGGCAAAUGGAAGCGUUCUCAGGCAUAUGCCGACUACAUCGGAUUCAUCCUCACUCUCAACGAAGGCGUGAAGGGGAAGAAGCUGACCUUCGAGUACAAAGUCUCUGAGGCCAUUGAGAAACUGGUCUCUCUUCUCAACACGUUGGACAGGUGGAUUGAUGAGACCCCUCCGGUGGACCAGCCCUCUCGAUUUGGGAACAAGGCCUAUAGGACUUGGUAUGCCAAACUUGAUGAGGAAGCAGAAAACUUGGUGGCCACAGUGGUCCCCACCCAUCUGGCAGCUGCUGUGCCUGAGGUGGCUGUUUACCUAAAGGAGUCCGUGGGGAACUCCACGCGAAUUGACUAUGGCACAGGGCAUGAGGCAGCCUUUGCUGCUUUCCUCUGCUGUCUCUGCAAGAUUGGGGUGCUCCGGGUGGACGACCAAAUAGCUAUUGUCUUCAAGGUGUUCAAUCGGUACCUCGAGGUUAUGCGAAAACUCCAGAAAACAUACAGGAUGGAGCCAGCGGGCAGCCAGGGUGUGUGGGGCCUGGAUGAUUUCCAGUUUCUGCCCUUCAUCUGGGGCAGUUCACAGCUGAUAGACCACCCAUACCUGGAGCCCAGGCACUUUGUGGAUGAGAAGGCCGUGAAUGAGAACCACAAGGACUACAUGUUCCUGGAGUGCAUCCUGUUCAUCACUGAGAUGAAGACGGGCCCGUUUGCAGAGCACUCCAACCAGCUAUGGAACAUCAGUGCUGUCCCCUCCUGGUCCAAAGUGAACCAGGGUCUCAUCCGCAUGUAUAAGGCUGAGUGCCUGGAGAAGUUCCCUGUGAUCCAGCACUUCAAGUUCGGGAGUCUGCUGCCCAUCCAUCCUGUCACGUCGGGCUAGGAGGGGCUGAGUAGCCAGAGCCACCCCGGCUGCAGUUCCUGUGCCUGCCCCCCCACUCCAGCACGAAUGUAAGCUCAGUGAGAGCAGGAAGCAAGUCUGUC